CCUACGGGAGGCAGCAGUGAGGAAUAUUGGUCAAUGGACGAGAGUCUGAACCAGCCAAGUAGCGUGAAGGAUGACUGCCCUAUGGGUUGUAAACUUCUGUUAUAAGGGAAUAAAACGUGCCACGUGUGGGAUUUUGUAUGUACCAUAUGAAUAAGGAUCGGCUAACUCCGUGCCAGCAGCCGCGGUAAUACGGAGGAUCCGAGCGUUAUCCGGAUUUAUUGGGUUGAAAGGGAGCGUAGGUGGCUUGUUAAGUCAGUUGUGAAAGUUUGCGGCUCAACCGUAAAAUUGCAUUUGAAACUGGCAGUCUUGCGUACAGUUGAGGUCGGCGGAAUUCGUUGUGUAGCGG
rnacentral:rRNA from 1 species